UACGGGGGGGGUAAGCGUUGUCCGGAAUUACUGGGCGUAAAGGGCUCGUAGGCGGCCAACUAAGUCAUACGUGAAAUCCCUCAGCUUAACUGGGGAACUGCGUGUGAUACUGGAUGGCUUGGAUUUGGGAGAGGGAUGCGGAAUUCCAGGUGUAGCGGUGAAAUGCGUAGAUAUCUGGAGGAACACCGGUGGCGAAGGCGGCAUCCUGGACCAAUAUUGACGCUGAGGAGCGAAAGCGUGGGGAGCAAACAGG
rnacentral:rRNA from 1 species